UUGCCUGCUACCAUGUAAGAUGUGACUUUGCUCCUCAUUCAUCUUCUGUCAUGAUUGUGAGGCCUUCCCAGCCAAGUGAAACUCAAUAACGUUCUGGACUCUAUGCCUGAGCCUAAUGCCAUAAAGGAAUGAAGCUUUAGCAGUCUUCUGGGAGGGGCAAUGGAAUAUUAGCAGAUGUGACAUGAACAGAAGUUUAUAAAGCUACAACAUGAUUUGCCCCGUACUUCUGAACCUAUGGUAGCACAGGAAGGAUAUGCUUAGACUAGCCUGCUGGUCCCACAGGAGGAUAUGAAACAUGUGAGGCAGAACCAUGCCCAAGUGAACACAACUGGUUCCAGAGUAUAAAUGAGAAGACAGUAGAACCAUCCAUGCAAGACUGACUUGGACAAAUGUCAGCCAAUCUGAAGAUCUGUUGGAUAAUUGAUUCAGUGUUUUAAGCCACUGAGUUUUGGGAUACUUUUUAAUGCAGCAUUAUUUUGGUCAGAGUUAAGUGGUUAAAGAGCCAAUAUUCUUAUACAUAUUACACACAGUCAGAUAGACAGACCGAUACACACAUGUGCACACACACAGAGAAUAAUAUAGGUCUAAUGUCUUAGAAUUUACACUUUA
rnacentral:lncRNA from 1 species